UGCGUAGGGUCCGAGCGUUGUCCGGAGUUACUGGGCGUAAAGCGCGCGCAGGCGGCGGUGUUGGCCCGGCGUGAAAGCCCCCGGCUCAACCGGGGAGGGUCGUCGGGGACCGCACCGCUUGAGGGCGGUAGGGGCUGGUGGAAUGCCUGGUGUAGUGGUGAAAUGCGUAGAGAUCAGGCGGAACACCCGUGGCGAAGGCGGCCAGCUGGGCCGUCCCUGACGCUGAGGCGCGAAGGCGUGGGGAGCGAACGGG
rnacentral:rRNA from 1 species